CAGUCGCCACGGGAAUACGAAGGGGGCUAGCGUUGCUCGGAUUUACUGGGCGUAAAGGGCGCGUAGGCGGGCGAAUAAGUCAGGGGUGAAAUCCCAAGGCUCAACCUUGGAACUGCCUUUGAUACUGUUUGUCUUGAGUCCGGGAGAGGUGAGUGGAACUGCGAGUGUAGAGGUGAAAUUCGUAGAUAUUCGCAAGAACACCAGUGGCGAAGGCGGCUCACUGGCCCGGAACUGACGCUGAGGCGCGAAAGCGUGGGGAGCAAACAGGAUUAGAUACCCGCGUAGUCCCUGUCUCUUAUAC
rnacentral:rRNA from 1 species